rnacentral:rRNA from 1 species
UACAGAGGGGGCAAGCGUUAUUCGGAAUUAUUGGGCGUAAAGGGCGCGUAGGCGGCUUGGCAAGUGGAAGGUGAAAUCCCUCGGCUCAACUGAGGAACUGCCCUCCAAACUGCUUUGCUUGAGGCCGGGAGAGGCGAGUGGAAUUCCCAGUGUAGCGGUGAAAUGCGUAGAUAUUGGGAGGAACACCAGUGGCGAAGGCGGCUCGCUGGACCGGUUCUGACGCUGAGGUGCGAAAGCGUGGGGAGCAAACAGG